UAGAUUGGUUCAUCCUUUAAUGCAACAAAAGUGUGGUUGAAUCCAAAUAUUAAGGAAGUUUCAGAUUUGAUUGACAGUGCCAAGGAAAGCUCAUCUUCAAACAACUCUUGCUUGAGCCAAGUUAUACCAAUUCAAACUACACAACUCUCUGUAGACUCUAUGUUGAGAUCCACCAAGAAGAUUAUGAUUUCUGACAUCGACACAAUGAAAGUGAAGGGUACCAAUUCAGGUCUAGCUAUUAUGGUCUCAAAGGGUACUACAGUUGAAGAGGGAGUGAAUGAGGUGGUUCCAACAGCCUCAGGCUUUGAGAAUAGUCAUGAAGAAACAACUAUAGGUUCAUCUCUUUCCAAGUUGAACCAAUAAUGUCUCAAGACAUUGGGAUUGAUGAAAUGACUAUAUCUCAGUUGUAUCCUCCUCCACUGCCAAGAGGAAAGAGGAAGCAAUAUUUGAAAAAGAGUGCAAAAGUCCA